AUUGAACGCUGGCGGCAUGCCUUACACAUGCAAGUCGAGCGGCAGCGCGGGGGCAACCCUGGCGGCGAGCGGCGGACGGGUGAGUAAUACAUCGGAACGUGUCCUUUCGUGGGGGAUAACCAGUCGAAAGACUGGCUAAUACCGCAUGAGAUCUCACGAUGAAAGCGAGGGACCGCAAGGCCUCGCGCGAUUGGAGCGGCCGAUGUCGGAUUAGCUAGUUGGCGGGGUAAAACGCCCACCAAGGCUACGAUCCGUAGCUUGGUUUGAGAGGACGACCAGCCACACUGGGACUGAGACACGGCCCAGACUCCUAC
rnacentral:rRNA from 1 species